rnacentral:rRNA from 1 species
GAUGAACGCUGGCGGCGUGCCUAAUACAUGCAAGUCGAGCGAACAGACGAGAGUGCUUGCACUCUCUGACGUUAGCGGCGGACGGGUGAGUAACACGUGGGUAACCUACCUAUAAGACUGGGAUAACUUCGGGAAACCGGAGCUAAUACCGGAUAAUAUUUAGCUUCGCAUGAAGCAAUAGUGAAAGACGGUUCUGCUGUCACUUAUAGAUGGACCCGCGGUGUAUUAGCUGGUUGGUGAGGUAACGGCUCACCAAGGCAACGAUACAUAGCCGACCUGAGAGGGUGAUCGGCCACACGGGGACGGAGACACGGCCCAGACUCCUACGGGAGGCAGCAGUAGGGAAUCUGCCGCAACGGACGAAAGUAUGACGGAGCAAUGCCGCGUGAGUGAAGAAGGUUUUCGGAUCGUAAAACUCUGUUGUAAGGGAAGAACAAGUACGUUAGUAACUGAACGUACCUUGACGGUACCUUACCAGAAAGCCACGGCUAACUACGUG